rnacentral:rRNA from 1 species
UACGUAGGGUGCAGGCGUUAAUCGGAAUUACUGGGCAUAAAGCGUGCGCAGGCGGUUUCUUAAGUCAGAUGUGAAAGCCCCGGGCUUAACCUGGGAACUGCGUUUGAAACUGGGAGACUUGAGUGUGGCAGAGGGGGGUGGAAUUCCACGUGUAGCAGUGAAAUGCGUAGAUAUGUGGAGGAACACCGAUGGCGAAGGCAGCCCCCUGGGUUAACACUGACGCUCAUGCACGAAAGCGUGGGGAGCAAACAGG